CCAGAAUCGUUCUAAGAACGGCUGAUUCUCACAAAUGGAGUAAAUGGGGGUUCUAAAGCUCUACAAGCAAACAUGUUGUCAAUAAGGAAGGCAGUCUUUGUACUGUAUAUCCGAAUGGAAGCAAAAUGUUUCCAAUAUAGAAUUAUUUAGUAUAUAAAGAAUGGAGAGACUAUAUAAUAGUGUAAACAAUAAACACUUGGGUGCUAUUCACAAAU